AUGGCAAACACGUGAACUGGUGGUCAGACUAUGCGACGAGCAAGUUUAAUGAGAAGAAGAAUUGUUUCGUGGAACAGUAUGGAAGCAUCUUCGACCCCCUGACGAACAAGUCGGUUGACGGAAACAGAACUUUGGAAGAAAAUAUAGCUGACAAUGGUGGCAUGCGUGUGGCGUACCAAGCCUACUUAAGAGUUACGGAAGACAAGCCAGAAGUGACGCUACCGGGUCUCGAGAAGUUCACGCAAGACCAGCUAUUCUUUUUGUCGUUUGCAACAGCAUGGUGCGUAAGAGAAGAUGUUAAAUUGUUGCGUCCUGGAGAUACACACGCUCGCA